UGUCAGGAAAUUUAGUGUAUG
ensembl:piRNA 21ur-14718 ncRNA